UCAAAGUUAAAAGUCAAAUUGGGAGAAUUGUAUUUUCAUCUUGAAUAUUAUUAAUUGGGAGAAUUGCACUUUCACCUUGAAUAUUAUUAUUUGGAAUAAUUGCAUUUUCAUCUUGACUAUUAUUAAUUGGGAAAAUUGCACUUUCACCUUGAAUAUUAUUAUUUGGAAUAAUUGCAUUUUACCUUGCAUAUUAUUAUUAUUAUCUUGUGACACUUUAUUCAAGGUAUAAUAUUCCAAGGAGACAAAACACUAUUCAAGUUUGAAUUUACAAAGAUAAGAUUCUCCAACAAAGACAAGGAGACAAAACACUAUUCAAGUUUGAAUUUACAAAGAAAAGAAUUCUCCUACAACGGUAAAAUUCUCUAUUCAAGUUUGAAUUUACAAAGAUUUGAAUUUCUCCAACAAAGACAAGGAGACACAACACUAUCCAAGGCAAACACUAUUCAAAGACAAAGCUUGGAUUUAUGUGAGAAAUCAAGGAGCCAUCCAUUGAAGAUCCAAGGAUGGACAUUGAGUGGCCAAGGCUAUAAAUAGAAGGGUAAUCCCCUCAUUUCCACUCACC
rnacentral:lncRNA from 1 species